GACGAACGCUGGCGGCGUGCUUAACACAUGCAAGUCGAACGGAAAGGCCCUGCUUUUGUGGGGUGCUCGAGUGGCGAACGGGUGAGUAACACGUGAGUAACCUGCCCUUGACUUUGGGAUAACUUCAGGAAACUGGGGCUAAUACCGGAUAGGAGCUCCUGCUGCAUGGUGGGGGUUGGAAAGUUUCGGCGGUUGGGGAUGGACUCGCGGCUUAUCAGCUUGUUGGUGGGGUAGUGGCUUGCCAAGGCUUUGACGGGUAGCCGGCCUGAGAGGGUGACCGGCCACAUUGGGACUGAGAUACGGCCCAGACUCCUACGGGAGGCAGCAGUGGGGAAUAUUGCACAAUGGGCGGAAGCCUGAUGCAGCAACGCCGCGUGCGGGAUGACGGCCUUCGGGUUGUAAACCGCUUUCGCCUGUGACGAAGCGUGAGUGACGGUAAUGGGUAAAGGAGCACCGGCUAACUACGUG
rnacentral:rRNA from 1 species